rnacentral:misc_RNA from 1 species
UAACCUUAGAUACGCUGACGACACUGCCCUUCUCGCACAGAUUAGAGAAGACAUUGAAAAUCUUUUGACCCGUCUAGAAAAUAUCAGCCUCCAAUUCGGACUUGCUAUCAACCGAGACAAGGCGAAGAUGAUGAUAGUGGACCGGGCUGAACAAAGUGGAAGCAAUGUACACAAAAUAGCUAAUCGAAGUGUACUGGAGGAUGUGGCGACGAAAUAAGGCGAAGGUGCGC